UCGACCCUCUCGCCCUGGAGCACCUGCAGCCGCUGCAGCAGAGCCUGCACGGCCUCGCCCGUCUGCGGGACACAAGGGGACGGUGGCAGCUGGGGACAUCAUGGCACCGGUGACCCGCCCCUCACAGGCCAUGAAGAUCCCAGGCCCAAGGUCCACCACACCAAGACACUGGUGGAAAUGAAGAAGGACCUGCACAACAUCUUCCUGGGAGGGAACAGAUGCAAGUCCACUCGUGUGGUGCCCAGUAGCACCAUGUGAGGGGCUGAGCUGUGAGAGCCAAAGGGAAACCCCGCUCUGGCUCUUCCUACGGGUGUGAAACACAGCACGAGUCCAUCAGCAGCACGGACAGACCCCCGGGAGAGCUGGAGCGAUGGUGGGAACGCAUUCCUUAAGAAAAGAAACCAACCAGCUGUGCCCCAAAACAGCUUUUCCUGCACCAAAAUCUACGUGGCUGGCGGGGUUUGGCCGCUCUCCUGAGGGCAGAAACGAGGAAGGACAAGAGGCGUUUCCAACCCAGGAUUUACUGAUUCCCCCUGAAGCGAGUGGUGGGUUUACACCUCAGUGGCAGUUUAGAGGAGGAAGGGCAGCACCUUCUUCCUCCCUCAGCUUCUCUCCCAGCCUUCGCUUCCCUCUUCCCA